rnacentral:lncRNA from 1 species
CCUGGCUUUAAAAGGUCGGACAGGCAGGAGUUCCCAGCCUACAACACUCGGCUCACAGCAUCCCCAGGCCUCGGCUCCAGGCUGGCACCAGCCAGUCGGGGUGGGUCCUGUGCAGCUCCCUGGGUCCCUGAGCUUCCAGAGUCUACACUUUCCAUAGUGAGUGUUGUAUAGUUCACAUUCCUGCCAGCAAUGAAGAAAAUUUCCUUCCCCACCUGAACCUCAGCAGCACUUGCUAUAAUUUGACUUCUUAGGCGCGGCCGUUCUUUUUGGGGUAAGAAGGAAUGUCAGUGCUGUUUUAG